UUUGAGACUCCAUGGACUGUAGCCCGCCAGGCUCCUCUGUCCACAGGAUUCUCCAGGCAAGAAUAUUGGAGUGGGUUGCCAUGUCCUCCUCCAGGGGUAAAGAAGACGCUGGAAGUUUCUGUGUGCAGGAGAGCAGGGCUGAAGAGCUUUGGCAGGAAGGUUUUUGCAGCAGCCUGCCUGUCGAAUUGCAUGGAUCAACAAUUUCUCAAUUAGAAGAAGAUAGACGAGAAGAUAAAGUAUGCAGUGACUGUAAAGCUUCAAGCAGCAGCUGAGGAAGAUUUUGGAACAUCUGGUUGGAAUCUAUUUCUUUUUAGGUGGGAAGACUCUGGAACUAGUUGAACACAGAGGUUUAAUGAGCGGACUCAAG
ensembl:lncRNA